rnacentral:lncRNA from 1 species
AAAUUCUGUUUAUAACUUGGAAGAUAAAACUUCCUAAGGAAAAAAUAGUAAGAGGAUACAUCUAAUACUUAAUGCUAGAAAGACUAUUAAGGAAGCUACAAUUUGGGCUGGCAAGAUGGCUCAGCGGUUAAGAGCAUUGUCUGCUCUUCCGAAGGUCCAGACUUCAAAUCCCAGCAACCACAUGGUGGCUCACAACCACCCAUAAUGAAAUCUGACACCCUCUUCUGGUGCAUCUGAAGACAGCUACAGUGUACUAAUGAAUAAUAAUAAAUAAAUCUUUUUUUUAAAAAAGGAAGCUACAAUUUGUCUUCAUUUUGAUGCACAAAAGCAUUUAAAGUAAUAAUAUAACUAAUCCUCCAUAAAGUACCAACUGGUAGAUCAGAUCUGCUGCUACUUUUUAAAAGUUAUUUAAUUUUUUUUUUAACAAUAGACUGUGCACGUUUGUGUGUGUGUCCCUGUGUACAUGCCACAGGCCUGUGUAGAAGUCCGGAGAGAACUCGUGAAAGUCUGUUCUCUCCUUCUAUCAUGUGAGUACUAGGCUCAGGUCACCAGACUUCGUGGCAAGCACGCUUACCCACUGAGGCAUGUCACCAGGCCCUUUAUGGCUUGUGGGGACAGCUCAGAGGGGUUGGCCUUGAAUUCAUGACCCUCCUUCUCCCACUACCUGAGCGCUAGGAUUUCAGGUAUGCACCCUCAAAACCCUCCAAUAUAACCUCUAAAAGCAGUGGUUCCCAAACUCCCUAAUGCUGCAACCUUUUAACACAGUGCCUCAUGUUGUGGUAACCCCAUAAGAUUAUUUUCUUGCUACUUUGUAACUGUAAAUUUGCUAAUGUUAUGAAUUGUAAUGUAAAUAUUUAAUAUGCAGAAUCUCUGAUAUUUGACCUCUGGGAAAGAGUCAUUUUACACCCUCCCAGGGGUCAACACACACACACACAGAGGAAUUUGGCAAUUGUACUUCUGGUACCCAGCUGAGAGGUGAACCACAUCC